rnacentral:rRNA from 1 species
UACAGAGGGGGGCAAGCGUUGUUCGGAAUUACUGGGCGUAAAGGGCUCGUAGGUGGCCAACUAAGUCAGACGUGAAAUCCCUCAGCUUAACUGGGGAACUGCGUCUGAUACUGGAUGGCUUGAGUUUGGGAGAGGGAUGCGGAAUUCCAGAUGUAGCGGUGAAAUGCGCAGAUAUCAGGAGGAACACCGGUGGCGAAGGCGGGUCUCUGGACCGAUACUGACGCUGAGGAGCGAAAGCGUGGGGAGCGAACAGG